AUAACAUUUUAGACUGUUUUUUUGUUGAUUCCCUCAAGCUGAAUAGCCUUUGUAUAGCUAUGUUUUAGGUGAAUUGUUACACCAGAACAGACAGGAAUUCGGGGUUUUUGAACAGACUUU